GGAUGCGAGGGUGAUCUGGCUGUGAGACCCGUCGGCCCGCUGAUCCCCAGCAUUGAUUCAGCUGAUCUGGCUGGCUUGGGGGAUGUAGCCAUCCUUCCUCAGUGCUCCGCGUGCAUCCCUCCCCAAGCUGCUCGCUGGGUGGAAGAGGACGAGCACCCCAGCCCUAGAGUAGAAUCACUCCUCUGAGAAAGGAUAUGAGUAGCUGUGCUCCCCUGCCUGAAACUCCAAACAAGCUCUCAAAAUUCCUCUCACAUCUUGAAUUUUUCACAAACUAUUAUUAUUA
rnacentral:snRNA from 1 species